GCCGCCGUAGCUCAGUCUGGGAGAGCGCCCGUGGACGCCCAUGUUAGGGCGAUCCGGCGAAGCUGAAGACCGGGAUGUCCGGGGUUCAAAUCCCCGCGGCGGCACCA
rnacentral:tRNA from 1 species